CUCGUAGGCGGCCAACUAAGUCAGACGUGAAAUCCCCAGGCUUAACUUGGGAACUGCGUCUGAUACUGGAUGGCUUGAGUUUGGGAGAGGGAUGCGGAAUUCCAGGUGUAGCGGUGAAAUGCGUAGAUAUCUGGAGGAACACCGGUGGCGAAGGCGACAUCCUGGACCAACACUGACGCUGAGGAGCGAAAGCCAGGGGAGCAAACGGGAUUAGAUACCCCGGUAGUCCUGGCCCUAAACGAUGAAUGCUUGGUGUGGCGGGUAUCGAUCCCUGCCGUGCCGAAGCUAACGCAUUAAGCACUCCGCCUGGGGAUACGGUCGCAAGGCUGAA
rnacentral:rRNA from 1 species